ACGGGUGUGAAGUCAUUGAUGCCAUGCUUCCAGGAAAAGCCUCUAAGCUUCAGAUUGUAAGGAAUCGUACCCCAAACCGACACAGGUGGUCGGGUAGAGAAUACCAAGGCGCUUGAGAGAACUCGGGUGAAGGAACUAGGCAAAAUGGUACCGUAACUUCGGGAGAAGGUACGCUCUUAUCAGUGAAGUCCCUUGCGGAUGGAGCAGACGAGAGUCGCAGAUACCAGGUGGCUGCAACUGUUUAUUAAAAACACAGCACUGUGCAAAAUCGUAAGAUGACGUAUACGGUGUGACGCCUGCCCGGUGCCGGAAGGUUAAUUGAUGGGGUUAGACUUCGGUCGAAGCUCUUGAUCGAAGCCCCGGUAAACGGCGGCCGUAACUAUAACGGUCCUAAGGUAGCGAAAUUCCUUGUCGGGUAAGUUCCGACCUGCACGAAUGGCGUAAUGAUGGCCACGCUGUCUCCACCCGAGACUCAGUGAAAUUGAAAUCGCUGUGAAGAUGCAGUGUACCCGCGGCUAGACGGAAAGACCCCGUGAACCUUUACUACAGCUUGGCACUGAACAUUGAACCUACAUGUGUAGGAUAGGUGGGAGACUAUGAAAUUGCGUCGCUAGAUGUGAUGGAGUCGUCCUUGAAAUACCACCCUUGUAGUUUUGAUGUUCUAACGUUGGUCCCUGAAUCGGGAUUACGGACAGUGCCUGGUGGGUAGUUUGACUGGGGCGGUCUCCUCCCAAAGAGUAACGGAGGAGCACGAAGGUGGGCUAAACACGGUUGGACAUCGUGUGGUUAGUGCAAUGGCAUAAGCCCGCUUGACUGCGAGAAUGACAAUUCGAGCAGGUGCGAAAGCAGGUCAUAGUGAUCCGGUGGUUCUGAAUGGAAGGGCCAUCGCUCAACGGAUAAAAGGUACUCCGGGGAUAACAGGCUGAUACCGCCCAAGAGUUCAUAUCGACGGCGGUGUUUGGCACCUCGAUGUCGGCUCAUCACAUCCUGGGGCUGAAGUCGGUCCCAAGGGUAUGGCUGUUCGCCAUUUAAAGUGGUACGCGAGCUGGGUUUAGAACGUCGUGAGACAGUUCGGUCCCUAUCUGCCGUGGGCGUUGGAAAAUUGAAAGGGGCUGCUCCUAGUACGAGAGGACCGGAGUGGACGAACCUCUGGUGUUCGGGUUGUCAUGCCAAUGGCAUUGCCCGGUAGCUACGUUCGGAAUCGAUAAGCGCUGAAAGCAUCUAAGCGCGAAGCGAGCCUUGAGAUGAGUUUUCCCUGGCACUAUAAGUGUCCUAAAGGGUUGUCGUAGACUACGACGUUGAUAGGCAGGGUGUGUAAGUGCUGCGAGGCAUUGAGCUAACCUGUACUAAUUGCCCGUGAGGCUUAACC
rnacentral:rRNA from 1 species